GAUGGACGCUGGCGGCGUGCCUAAUACAUGCAAGUCGAGCGAACAGACGAGGAGCUUGCUCCUCUGACGUUAGCGGCGGACGGGUGAGUAACACGUGGAUAACCUACCUAUAAGACUGGGAUAACUUCGGGAAACCGGAGCUAAUACCGGAUAAUAUAUUGAACCGCAUGGUUCAAUAGUGAAAGACGGCUUUGCUGUCACUUAUAGAUGGAUCCGCGCCGCAUUAGCUAGUUGGUAAGGUAACGGCUUACCAAGGCAACGAUGCGUAGCCGACCUGAGAGGGUGAUCGGCCACACUGGAACUGAGACACGGUCCAGACUCCUACGGGAGGCAGCAGUAGGGAAUCUUCCGCAAUGGGCGAAAGCCUGACGGAGCAACGCCGCGUGGGUGAUGAAGGUCUUCGGGUCGUAAAGCUCUGUUAUUAGGGAAGAACAAAUGUGUAAGUAACUAUGCACGUCUUGACGGUACCUAAUCAGAAAGCCACGGCUAACUACGUG
rnacentral:rRNA from 1 species